rnacentral:rRNA from 1 species
GUGAGGAAUUUUGCGCAAUGGGGGAAACCCUGACGCAGCAACGCCGCGUGAGUGAUGAAGGCUUUCGGGUCGUAAAGCUCUGUCAAGUGGGAAGAAGUUGUGUAUGGCUAAUAUCUGUGCACAUUGACGGUACCACUGAAGGAAGCACCGGCUAACUCCGUGCCAGCAGCCGCGGUAAUACGGAGGGUGCAAGCGUUAUUCGGAUUUACUGGGCGUAAAGGGCGCGUAGGCGGCUUGAUAAGUCAGUCGUGAAAGCCCGGGGCUCAACCCCGGAAGUGCGAUUGAAACUAUCAGGCUUGAGUAUGGUAGAGGGAAGUGGAAUUCCAGGUGUAGCGGUGAAAUGCGUAGAUAUCUGGAGGAACACCGGUGGCGAAGGCGACUUCCUGGACCAAUACUGACGCUGAUGCGCGAAGGUGUGGGUAGCAAACAGGAUUAGAAACCCCGGUAGUCC